CAAAGACUAAGCCAUGCAAGUGCAAGUACGAGUCGCGCUUCGACGCGACGAAACUGCGAAAGGCUCAUUAAAUCAGUCGUGGUCUACGUGGUCGUGCGGCGACGAGAGUCGUCAGAGGUGGAUAACCGUGGAAAAGCUAGAGCUAAUACAUGCAAGCGAGCGCCGACUUCGGGAGGCGUGCAUUUAUCAGACCGCGCGUCGGCCGAGCGCCGCGUCGAUGUUCGGGCCGCGAGGCCCGGCGUUAUCGGACGGCGCUCGUCGAUGGUGGUGACUCUGGAUAACUUAUCGUGCUGAUCGCCGGUCCCAUUGUAGAGACCGGGCGACGAACCACUCGAGCGUCUGACCUAUCAACUGUUGUCGGUAAGGUCUCGGCCUACCGAGGUGCUCACGGGUGACGGGGAAUCAGGGUUCGAUUCCGGAGAGGGAGCCCGAGAAACGGCUGCCACUUCC
rnacentral:rRNA from 1 species